rnacentral:misc_RNA from 1 species
CCAAUAGCGUAUAUUAAAGUUGUUGCAGUUAAAAAGCUCGUAGUUGAAUUUUGGAUUCUACCAAUCGGUCCAUCUUUUGAUGAGUACUGGUUGUGUGGGGUCUAUCCGCCUGGUAAUACGUAAUGUCCUUUAUUGGAUGUUGCGGGUAGUCAGGACCUUUACCUUGAAAAAAUUAGAGUGUUUAAAGCAGUCUUAUGCCGGAAUACAUUAGCAUGGAAUAAUAGAAUAGGACGAAGUUGUUUUAUUUUGUUGGUUUCUAGGACAACCGUAAUGAUUAAUAGGGAUAGUUGGGGGCAUUAGUAUUCAAUUGUCAGAGGUGAAAUUCUUGGAUUUAUUGAAGACUAACUAUUGCGAAAGCAUUUGCCAAGGAUGUUUUCAUUAAUCAAGAACGAAAGUUAGGGGAUCGAAGACGAUCAGAUACCGUCGUAGUCUUAACCAUAAACUAUGCCGACUAGGGAUCGGGCGAUGUUGUUUCAAUGACUCGCUCGGCACCUUAUG